AACGAACGCUGGCGGCAUGCCUAACACAUGCAAGUCGAACGAGACGUUCGGGUCUAGUGGCGCACGGGUGCGUACCGAGGGGGAACCUACCCUUAGGUACGGAAUAAUUGCCCGAAAGAGGUGUUAAGACCGGUUAAUGUCAUCGCACCAAGGAUUUAUUGCCUCUGGGUGGGCCCGCGUUGGUUUAGCUGGUUGGUAGGGUAAAAGCCUAUCAAGGGGACGAUGCAUGGCUGGUCGGGGAGGAUGACCAGCCACGCUGGGACGGAGACACGGGACAGAUUCCUGCGGGAGCCAGCAGUAGGGAAUAUUGGACGAUGGGCGAAAGACGCAGCCAGCCAUGGUGCGUGAGGGAUGCAGGCCUUUGGGUUGCAAAGUUCUUUUACCCCGGAUGAUAAUGACAGUACCGGGAUAAUAAGCUCCGGCUAACUCCGUGC
rnacentral:rRNA from 1 species